GGGUAAACCUGCGAAACUCGAAUGAACGAACGGAGAGAUUCAUCGCCAUUCCGCGGCGUAGGUGCGCGCGUUUCGAUGUAGUCCAUUUCGGUGGGCUUGCACGACGCGCGUUCCUCUAACGUUCGCGGACGGCGUGCACUUCUCUCUCAGUAAAUACAUCGCGACCCGUUAGAUGUCGAUCUAAGCGCCGUUCCGGGAGUCCCGUUGUUCCAUUAACGUGGACAGUGGGACCGGUAUGGUUGCCGACCGGCCGUCUGACGGUAACUCUUAUGAAACGCGCACGCGUUCUGAACGCGUCCGGCCCGACUCAAGUCAACGUCGUAUCCAGCGUACCGCCCGAGCGCGGACGCAGGUGCGGCGCGUCUGUUGUUGUAGCCGUGCAGCCUCUGACUGUGCGCGUCUCUGUCUGCGAUGAUUCAGUUUCGGGCACUCGCAGGACCCGUCUUGAAACACGGACCAAGGAGUCUAGCAUGUAUGCGAGUCAUUGAGAUUAUUAAACUGAAAGGCGUAACGAAAGUGAAGGCGCGCGCUCGUCGCGCGCUCAGGGAGGAUGGAGCGUCGGUCUAGGUCGAUCUCUCGCACUCCCGAGGCGUCUCGUUUCCAAUCCGUGAAUGCAGGCGCGCUCUGAGCAUAAAUGCUGGGACCCGAAAGAUG
rnacentral:rRNA from 1 species